CAGCCGCCGCGGUAAUACGGAGGGUGCAAGCGUUAAUCGGAAUUACUGGGCGUAAAGCGCACGCAGGCGGUUUGUUAAGUCAGAUGUGAAAUCCCCGGGCUCAACCUGGGAACUGCAUUUGAAACUGGCAAGCUAGAGUCUCGUAGAGGGGGGUAGAAUUCCAGGUGUAGCGGUGAAAUGCGUAGAGAUCUGGAGGAAUACCGGUGGCGAAGGCGGCCCUGGACGAAGACUGACGCUCAGGUGCGAAAGCGUGGGGAGCAAACAGGAUUAGAUACCCCAGUAGUCCCUGUCUCUUAUACAC
rnacentral:rRNA from 1 species